GAAGUGAUCGACACCAAGGCUGAUGUAACGCCGUCGCAGAUGGAAGUUGACAUUAGAAUGAAACGAUGCUC
rnacentral:snoRNA from 1 species